GACGGAGGAUGCAAGCGUUAUCCGGAAUGAUUGGGCGUAAAGCGUCCGCAGGUGGCAGUUCAAGUCUGCUGUCAAAGACCGGGGCUUAACUUCGGAAAGGCAGUGGAAACUGAACAGCUAGAGUAUGGUAGGGGCAGAGGGAAUUCCUGGUGUAGCGGUGAAAUGCGUAGAGAUCAGGAGGAACACCGGUGGCGAAGGCGGUUCUCUGGGCAUUACCUGACGCUGAGGAGCGAAAGUGUGGGGAGCGAACAGG
rnacentral:rRNA from 1 species